GACGAACGCUGGCGGCGCGCCUAACACAUGCAAGUCGAACGAGCGAGCGAGAGCUUGCUUUCUUGAGCGAGUGGCGAACGGGUGAGUAACGCGUGAGGAACCUGCCCCAAAGAGGGGGACAACAGUUGGAAACGACUGCUAAUACCGCAUAAGCCCACGGUGCCGCAUGGCACAGAGGGAAAAGGAGCAAUCCGCUUUGAGAUGGCCUCGCGUCCGAUUAGCUAGUUGGUGAGGUAACGGCCCACCAAGGCGACGAUCGGUAGCCGGACUGAGAGGUUGAACGGCCACAUUGGGACUGAGACACGGCCCAGACUCCUACGGGAGGGAGCAGUGGGGAAUAUUGCACAAUGGAGGAAACCGUGAUGCAGCGACGCCGCGUGGAGGAAGAAGGUCUUCGGAUUGUAAACUCCUGUUGUUGGGGAAGAUAAUGACGGUACCCAACAAGGAAGUGACGGCUAACUACGUG
rnacentral:rRNA from 1 species